GUCUGCAACUGGCGUUUUCCAAAAAAGCUCUGGCGGGGUUGUCGGUGUAUAAAAACUCAAAAAGAAAAAGGGGGGAUCUUGGCAGGAAAAGGAAGCCGGAGAAGGAGGCGAGCCGCUCGGAUUGACAGUGUUGUCAGACAGCAGUGACGAGGAAAUGUGCUGUGAAUCUGCCUUUAACGCACCUAGAACCAGGCAGCACCAUGAAAGCCGACUAUUCCGCUCGAUGAUCACUGAUGUGCUUUAUCUGGAUGAGGCAGUCAGUGGAAGAAGAGACGCCCCGCCGCUCGGGGCCCUUCAAACCUGAGCCCACACAGACCAGACCAAAGCAGGGAAGCUCCAAGCCGGCCUCUCCCCGGAUUGCCUCAGCAGGUACCUGAGAGUUUACUGGGGGCUGGCAGCGUGUUAUCAUGCCUGCCACGGGGACACCUGCCUCUGAUGCCGCCCCGGUGAUUCUAAUCUACAGGACCCUUUAAUAAAAUGAUGAUAGGCUGCGCUGCCAUCGCUGCUCUGAAUGACGGAGCAGGCGCACGUACAGGCUCCUGUUGGUGAUAUUUAUCCUGUUGUAGGGUUUUGCAUGUUCACCUCUGCUCCGUGUGCAGCGGUGGUUCGGUGCAACGUGGGGAUAUGUCUCAUCCGUGCACUACCACGUCUCAGAGCACGGGGGAAGGCCGAGGCAUCGCCAGUCUGUGAUCACCAGACUUCAGCCCUCCACUGCAGUCUUCAUCAGCCUUGAUGAUAAAUCCAUACUCUAAACUCAGCAUGUCUGACCUGCUUACAUCACAUUUCAACAAUCGCACUGGAGCAGAUGGAACCGCGACUCUGUCUCCAUAUCCAGUUCAAGGCAAAGAAAAAGGCAAAAAAGACAAAUACUGUGAAUUAUUCAAGGAGUCACACUGUCAUAUUUCAUGAUGUUGUGUCACCUUGCUGAUCGCUUUACUGUGAUUCCUGUGCUCUUUGUGGCUCCCACUAACUUUGAAAACAAAUUAUUGUCAGUGCUCAGCACAUUUACAGCUGCUGGAUACUCAAGGUACGAGGGCUUUUGUGCUAUGCUUCUUUUUUCAGGCCACUCCUACUGUAUAUGUGAUAUUAACAAAACAUGGCAAUGAUGAUAAACCACCACUUUCUUGUUAAAAUCCAGAUAAAAAAAAAUACACUAUGAACUACAACAUACAGAAAUUAUUGUUGUUUUAUAUAAUAUUUAAAAUGGCAGAAUUGUCAGUAUCCGGAAGAUUUUUACACAUUUUAGCUUUAAUAUUCUUUUAAUUUACAGGGAAAUAAUUUGAAUAAUUAAAGAGUUGAUCUAUAACCGAUAAGAGUGAAUAGAGCUUUUAAAUCUCACAACUCUUCUAAAUCCAACUGAGCAAAUGUUUUGUUGUUUGCACAGUGAAAUUAACAUAAAUUUAAUCUGCACAGCAACAUAGAAAAAUUUCCUCAGGGUCAAUAUUUUUAGAUUCAUUUGUUCUUGUUUGUAAAAUUUAAAUUUUUUUUGUCACAGAAUUCUUGGUGAAUGGGAUUUAACAGCUUUUAAUGUAUUUUUGUUCUGAGAGAACGUGGCCAGAUUUGUCUGCUUCUAUUCCCAGGCAGAAAAAAGAAGCACAACACCUGGUUAAAUAAAGUCUACACAACAAACUCAAAGAAACUGAUUUUAAAAAAUCCUCACACUCACACACACACACACAGCCCCAAACUACUUUGAGAAAUCACCUACUUUUCUGUGAACACCCUCCCCUGUUUCAUCUUACACAGAGAAGGCAGCAGCAGCGCACAGUGCACAUCCUCUACGUUUGCACACAGUUAAUUACCCAUCAUGCAUCCAUGUUGCCAGCCAUGCCAGCUAAAAGGUCCCUCAUUGCUGAUUAACAUAUUACCGCUGGACAUUUUCUCUUUUCUCCUCGCAAAAAAAUAAGCUUGUUUGGUGGUGUACCUGUGGGUUGAUUUAUUCUGGCGAUGAAGUUUGUUCACUUGAUAAUAAGAGGGACUAAACAUUUAACUUUGGUUUUUUCCUCUAUUGUUGGGAGAGACGCUGUUGUUUUUGUAUUUUUAGGGCUUUUAUUGUGAGUAGCUGAUAUAAAUUCUAUCACCAUGAUAAUACUGUGGUGUGCCAUA